AUGCAGAAGGAAGCUUGCCACCUGAACACUGGAAAACAUCUGACUCUGGAGAAAACAGAGAUAGUUGAGAAGAAAAGACUUUCUCAGUGGCCAGUCCUAAGGAUGUUUGUAGUGCAAAAUGACUGCUACAGGUUACUCAUGAGCAACAGAACUGACCUCUUCUGGUACUUAGCAAGCUGCUAUGGUAAAAGACUCACAUAAGAAAAGAUCCUGUGGAAACACAGAAGAAUGGAAUCUUAGAAUGGCAAGCAGCAGUAUAACGUUUUAAGAAACGAGCAUAUUGCCUCUCAGCAUUUUGUUGUGCUAUAACGAUUCAAAGAUGGAAAAUCUUUGAAUUUAAACCAGAAAUUAAAACCUUUGUAUUAAAACUGAAAAAUUUAAACCAGAAAUCAUAGCAAUAGUGUAGUAAUGUUAUGUUAUUGUUGUUACAAUAAUUUUAAUUUGCAUCUGUAUCCCAUACACUCUAUGAUGUUACAUAUACCUUGCAAUUUUUUAUAUAACUUGCACUUUUUGAUGUUUAGGCAUUCCAAAUUGGACUGUGACUUGUUUGAUCAGAAUUGUCAUUAAAAUACUUGAGAAGAUAUUUUCUCUUAGUUUAUUUGAAAUGAUUUGGUUUUUCUUGUGUGAUGUUAUAG
ensembl:lncRNA